AUAAUGGGUCAGCGACUUAUAUUCUGUAGCAAGGUUAACCGAAUAGGGGAGCCGAAGGGAAACCGAGUCUUAACUGGGCGUUAAGUUGCAGGGUAUAGACCCGAAACCCGGUGAUCUAGCCAUGGGCAGGUUGAAGGUUGGGUAACACUAACUGGAGGACCGAACCGACUAAUGUUGAAAAAUUAGCGGAUGACUUGUGGCUGGGGGUGAAAGGCCAAUCAAACCGGGAGAUAGCUGGUUCUCCCCGAAAGCUAUUUAGGUAGCGCCUCGUGAAUUCAUCUCCGGGGGUAGAGCACUGUUUCGGCAAGGGGGUCAUCCCGACUUACCAACCCGAUGCAAACUGCGAAUACCGGAGAAUGUUAUCACGGGAGACACACGGCGGGUGCUAACGUCCGUCGUGAAGAGGGAAACAACCCAGACCGCCAGCUAAGGUCCCAAAGUCAUGGUUAAGUGGGAAACGAUGUGGGAAGGCCCAGACAGCCAGGAUGUUGGCUUAGAAGCAGCCAUCAUUUAAAGAAAGCGUAAUAGCUCACUGGUCGAGUCGGCCUGCGCGGAAGAUGUAACGGGGCUAAACCAUGCACCGAAGCUGCGGCAGCGACACUAUGUGUUGUUGGGUAGGGGAGCGUUCUGUAAGCCUGUGAAGGUGUACUGUGAGGUAUGCUGGAGGUAUCAGAAGUGCGAAUGCUGACAUAAGUAACGAUAAAGCGGGUGAAAAGCCCGCUCGCCGGAAGACCAAGGGUUCCUGUCCAACGUUAAUCGGGGCAGGGUGAGUCGACCCCUAAGGCGAGGCCGAAAGGCGUAGUCGAUGGGAAACAGGUUAAUAUUCCUGUACUUGGUGUUACUGCGAAGGGGGGACGGAGAAGGCUAUGUUGGCCGGGCGACGGUUGUCCCGGUUUAAGCGUGUAGGCUGGUUUUCCAGGCAAAUCCGGAAAAUCAAGGCUGAGGCGUGAUGACGAGGCACUACGGUGCUGAAGCAACAAAUGCCCUGCUUCCAGGAAAAGCCUCUAAGCAUCAGGUAACAUCAAAUCGUACCCCAAACCGACACAGGUGGUCAGGUAGAGAAUACCAAGGCGCUUGAGAGAACUCGGGUGAAGGAACUAGGCAAAAUGGUGCCGUAACUUCGGGAGAAGGCACGCUGAUAUGUAGGUGAAGUCCCUCGCGGAUGGAGCUGAAAUCAGUCGAAGAUACCAGCUGGCUGCAACUGUUUAUUAAAAACACAGCACUGUGCAAACACGAAAGUGGACGUAUACGGUGUGACGCCUGCCCGGUGC
rnacentral:rRNA from 1 species